rnacentral:misc_RNA from 1 species
UCAUUAUUAUCACAUUUAGGUAAAAAAUUUUUAUUACGAAGCAUCAAAAUUUAUUUUUCAGUUUACUUGCAAUAUUGCAAUAUUUUUCUUGAAAUUAAGCAUUGUUGUUCAUAUCUAAACCAUCCUAAUAUUUUCCAAUGUGCUACAUAUGCCAAAAAAAAAAAAAAAAAAUGCCAGAUAAAAUGGCUAAGGCUUUGAUACCAUGUUGAGAUUAGAGAGAAUUGAAGAAUUUCUUGAUGUAUUUCACAGUGUUACAAUGAUUCAAAUAUAUACACAAAGGCUAUAGCCUUAGAAAAGAAAAUAAAAGCUAACAAAUACAAAUAUCCCUAAUAUCACUAAUUUACAUUCUAAUUUACAGCUAAUGCAUUAAUUAAGGGAUUCCAACAUAUAUAUAUAUUGUCAAUUGCUUAGCAAGCAGCAAAAGAAGAGAAAAUAAAAAGGAAAAUGCUUAGCUGCAAUAUGCAAGUAUCCUUUUUAUAAAUUGGAGAGAGCACAUCCUAAUGUUAAAACAGAAGAGAACAGAAGUCAGUGCAGACUACCUGUCUAAUAAUCAAAGCAUAUCUGCCUAACAAGCUAUGUAUUAAGGUAAGUAGAAGAAAGAAAGUAAAUUAGUUGUUUCAAGACUUGUGUAAUAGAAAUUCAAGAGAAAAAGGACUAUGACAAUAUGUGGCAUAACAAUUCUUGUUAGGGGUAUUUGUCUUCCAGAACAACAAAGUAUUUUGGGCAUGAUUAUCUGGACACUGUCUAAUUUUUCAAACAGGUGAAAUGUGAGAUUCCUGUCUGUAAAUGGAAUAGAAUGUGAGAAUAUGGGUAAUCUUAGAUACCUGUUUAAACCAAACACAGAAUACUAAGAUUUCUGUCCACAGUUUUCUGACCUUGCAUGAACGAAUGUUGCCUUGAUGAAUUAAAGAAAUCCACUAAUGAUGCGAUUUCUCAGACUAUUUGUCUAGUUGAUAGAAUAUGGUAAUGUGCAGCUAAAGCAUCCCUGUUUAUGGGCUAAACUUCGGAUCAUUGACCCAUUGUUUGGCCAUGUAUGCGAUGGAUGGAAUUUGGUCAGCUGGAUGUAGGGGCGGAACUACAUGCAUUAUUGGAGGGGCCAUGGCCCCUCCAAACUUUGCAAAAUUUCAAUUUAAAUCCCUAUAUUUUCUGUAAAUUUCGUGCUUGUUUAGCAUUGUGUUUAGAGGUUCAA